rnacentral:tRNA from 1 species
CGCGGGAUGGAGCAGUGGUAGCUCGUCGGGCUCAUAACCCGAAGGUCGAGGGUUCGAAUCCCUCUCCCGCUACCA